rnacentral:rRNA from 1 species
CUCUUUGAAUGUUUGAUCUCAAAUCAGGA